GGAUAUAGCCCAGUUGGUAGAGUGCUUGCCUUGUAUGCAUAAGGCCCUGGGUUCAAUCCCCAGUACCA
rnacentral:tRNA from 1 species